rnacentral:lncRNA from 1 species
CACAUCCUAGGGAAAACAUUUCUGAAAAAUUAACGAUAAAUAACAACUGCUCCCUUUCUACGAAUUAAAACGUUCUUAUCUGACUCAAGGGAUAUUUAUUUUAAAAAGAAUGUCUUCUUUUACAAUAAUUUCAAGUUAAACUAUUUGAAAUACUAGUAUACUAAUUGGUUAACCCUACAAGGCGAACUGCCAUAAAGUAUAUAUGGACAUCCUUUAUUUGUAAGUCUGACAAUAUAAAAUGGUUUGAUAAAUUCGCUUUCAUUUGAAUGACCAUUCAUCUCUUUCCUACAAUAUACAAAGUUGAAGCAUUGCAUGAUGUUGUUUAUUAGCACGUGUAAUUUUCUUCUACCGGAGAUUCAUAAAUUCUUCAGAAAUAGACAAGACGCACGCGAUAUUUUCUUUAUAUAAUUACAACAAAUUACCCCUAUACGCGCGAAAGCCGUAUUACACAGCUUGUUCAUCAUGCUCAACCGUCAAUAGGCUCACAAUUUAUGAUAUUUAUAGAUGAUAAGUUCAUUUGUGUUCGGAGUUCAUAAACAAGGACAUGGAUUUUGUUUUUGAAAAAGGGGGGGGGGUGUCAUUUCUUUAUUAUUCAUUUUUUAAAACAAUAUUUCUCUUUUCUUUAUUAAUUUUGCACAUUAUUCUCUAUUCCUUUCAUUUUAGUACCCUGUUAUUCUCUAUUGUUUAUAUUAUUUUGUAUUAUGCAUUGUAUGCUCAUUAUUCUCUAUUCUGUAAACCCCAUCUAGAUCUUCAUAAACAUCACUCAUGUAUAGCAUAUUUUGUAUUAUUUUUUAUCAUUUAGGGAAGACAAGGACAGGAAAAAUAAGACACAGAACGAGUUAGAGCUUGAUAUACUAUAAAAAAACGAAUACUGUGGAUUCAUUUAUUUUCGUGGGUACCAAUUUUCGGUCUAUAGCGGGCUACCGCGGGUCUCGACGACUGCGGGUUAGGUAGGUGGUCGCCCUUUGGCGGGGAUACUUUGGAUUCAUUUAUUUUCGUGGGUACCAAUUUUCGUGGAUUGAUGAAGACUUGCGUUCUUGUAAACAUUGGAUUUUGUUGCUUUGGCAAAGUUUAAAUACAUUCCUUUAGAAGCAUUACAAUUCGUUGAACUUUCAAAUUCGUUGUUCCCCAGUACCAACGAAAUCCACGAAAAUUUGUAUCCUACAAAAAUUAAUGAUUCCACAUUAUGUAACAAUUUAAAUAGACUAGGAUGCUCGGUCUGUUUUCAUGUCAAAGGUCGUGGUUUAACUGGGUACUGUGGGUUCCUCUACCAAUCAAAACUGACCGCCGUGAAAUAGUCCAUAGAACUGAAUGUCAAACAGAAACAUUGACAAAAGAUAUACAACUUAAGAAAAAAAAAACCUCACACUUAAACACAGAAAUUGCAUGAACAUUUGGUUUCAAGUCAGCUGAUAAUCCUGAAAGAGGAUAAUGGGUUUAUGGGGGGGGGGGGGGUGUAAGGGUAAGGACAUUUUAAUUGUCAACAUUAAAACAAUUUGAAACCUUUUAUAUGUCGAAAUAUUGAUAAUUCUAGUUUAAGCUGACCUGUUCACUAUUUUUAACCGUGCAAUUGUCAUUGAAGUUAUAUUAUAUCGCUUUUCGUUUAUUGUUUGUUAAAAUUAAAAUGACCCUUAUUACAUUAGCUACAUUUGGAUCAUAUUAAUAUUU